CGAUAAUACAGAGAAUGUUAUCCUUGAAUAUGCGUGAUUUAACCAUCUCCAUGUUGAAGAUGACAUUUUCAUAUGCUAGCAUGAAUCUGUUUGUGCUAAAGGAAAACACCACAAUGAGCCAAGGAAAAAACAAUAAUAAUAACAACAGGAAGGACAAGCUUAGCCUGGCUGAUUCAGUAGCUAAAGGGCAUGUUCUCUCCGGUCCCUCAAUCCCUUAAAAAGAAAAAUGCAUUUCUCCACAAAUACUUAGUUACAUGCAUAGAUAAAAGGAAAAACACAUAAUACAAGCUAUGGCAGCCACAACUAAAUGCCCCCCCACUCGUCACUCCCACAAGCAAUGGAAGUUCCUUCCACCUUAAUAAAUACCAAGCAGAGUCACAGCCAAUUAUUUAAAAUACAAAGCACACGCAACAGGAAAUAUACAUAUCAUAUUUCUUCCUACUACUCGAUCCCUAAAUUCUUUCUCAUCAUCAGGACAAAUUCAUAGACCUUUUGUUGGUCAGGAAGGGACUCGGAUAUAGAUUCUUUCUGCAUGCACCUCUUAGCCCAAGCAAUCAGAACAGGACACUCGGGCUCUAUGCUGAAGUUGCCACAGGUCUCAUAGGCAUAAAACCAGCAAUAAAAUGGUAUGAGUACAACAUCCACAUAUCCAAUGGUCUCCCCACCAAAAUAAGGCUUGUUUCCAAGCUCACCUUCCAACAACUUAAGGGCCUCAAUGAAUUCUUUCUUGGCUGCCUCCUGCUCAUCUCCCUUUGUAGUCCAUAUCUUCCUCCCUAUAUCAUAUAUCUUCUUGUCAAUAAAAUCAGCCCAGAAUCUAGCCUGGGCUCUCUGGUAAGGAUCGGAGGGCAGGAGAGGAGACUUAUCGUUCCACGCUUCAUCAACAUACUGGACAGCAACAAGGGACUCGCAAACGGGUCUUCCGUUGUGAAUGAGAACAGGAAUCUUCUUGUGAAUUGGGUUCAUCUGCAAGAGAAGAGGGCUCUUGUUCCUCAAGUCCUCAUCUCUGUACUCAUACUUGACACUCUUCUCAGCCAAUGCUAUUCUGACCCUCAUCCCAAAAGGGCUUGGCCAGAAGUCCAAGAGGAUCACUUCAUCAGCCAUUUCAGUUUGGCUUAGCUACAUUAUCACUGCGAGUGGACUCUGC
rnacentral:misc_RNA from 1 species